GUUGACCUCGGAUCAAGGAGGGA
rnacentral:rRNA from 1 species